AUGAAUCAUUUGCGAAUGGGCAUCGGUCAUUUCCCAGAGAAAAGUAGACGCCCAGCAAACACAGAACGUUGUGAGGACGUCGCCAGUUCGUCGUCAUUUGGUCAGCGCGACAUUACUUUAUGGCAACGUUGUGAGGACGUCGAGGUCCUGACUGCCACCAGUUGAGUCAAUGAUUCAGUGGAGAGACAGUCUGGACAGCAUUAACAAGACAACUAUUACAAAUAGAGACGGGUUUCAAAAACUGACACAACCACAUAUCAUCCAAAUCAUCUCCAAGUGGAUGGCAGCACGGAUCCAGGAUCAAGAGAUCAUUCUUCAUGAAGACUGUUCCAUAGGAAGCAGUGAAUCCUGGGUGAAAAACUAAACCUAGUUGUUUCAGCAUCACUCAGGCAAGACUAAAUACAUUUAAAUUGAUUUCAGUUUGUUAUAUGUUUCAGGUCAUCCUGACCAUUCUGCUGUCCUGGACGUGAGGAUAUGCUGAAACUGCGUAUCCAGAUAUACAAACAGCCUUCCUGGACCCACACGACUAAAGGCUCCGGAGGAGAGACAG
ensembl:lncRNA